GACGGAGAUGGGAUGGGGGGAGUGGGGGGUGGGAAGGAGAUGGGCUGGGGGGGAGAUGGGGGGACAGCUGGGCUGGGGGGGGCGAUGCGCUGCUCCGCGGUCCCGAAGCACUUCCAACUUCCACACACCCCCCCCCCCCCCGCCCUCCUCCGCUUCAGCCGCAGCGCUGCCGGCGUGGGAACCGCGCGUCCAAAGCGGAGCGCAGCGGAUGGAGGGCACGGGAGCAAAGGGCGAUGGGCGGAGGAGAGCGGGGGGGGACGGGGGGGGACGGAGGGGGGCGGGGAUCGCGCAGCGCUCGGCCCUUCGGCGGCCCUUCGGCGGCCCUUCGGACAUCGGAGGAACGGCUUCGGGAUCGCGCAACGCAAACGGGAGCUGCGGAGGGGGUCGGGAACGCCCACAGCUCCGUGGGCUGCAGCCGCUGCUCAGCGGGGUACAGCGCGCCGUUAAUGGGAUCGUCCUGGAAUCCUAAAAUCGCCAGGGUUGGAAAAGCCCUCCGAGGUCAUCCGGCGCAGCCGCCCACCCAUCACCACCGGGCGCACCCCGCAGCUCAGUGGGGUGCAGCCCCCCACCCCCCCCCCACGGCUCGUUGGGGUGCGCCUCACAGCCAACUGGGGUACACCCGCAGCUCAAUGGGGUACACCCGCAGCUCAAUGGGGUACGCCCCGCAGCUCAUGGGGUACGCCCCGCAGCUCAAUGGGGUACGACCUGUGGCUCUUUGGGUACGCCCCGCAGCUCAAUGGGGUACACCGCAGCUCAUGGGGUACACCCUGCAGUUCAAUGGGGUACGCCCCGCAGCUCAUUGGGGUACACCCCGCAGCUCAUUGGGGUACACCUUACAGCCCAUUAGGGUGCACUCACAGCCCAUUGGGGUACACCCACAGCCCAUUGGGGUACACCUUACAGCCCAUUCGGGUACACUGCACAGCCCAUUGGGGUGCACUCACAGCCAAUAGGGGUGCACCCCAUAGCUAAUAGAGGUACACCCACAGCUCAUUGGGGUACACCCACAGCCCAUUGGGGUACACUCACAGCCCAUUGGGGUGCACCCACAGCCCAUAGGGGUGCACCCCAUAGCUAAUAGAGGUUCACUCACAGCCCAUAGGGGUGCACUCACAGCUCACUGGGGUACACCCACAGCCUAUUGGGGUACACCCACAGCCCAUUGCGGUGCACUCACAGCUCACUGGGGUACACCCACAGCUAAUAGGGGUGCACUCACAGCCCAUUGGGGUAUACUCACAGCCAAUAGGGGUACACCCACAGCCCAUUGGGGUGCACUCACAGCCAAUAGGGGUCCACCCACAGCCCAUUGGGGUGCACUCACAGCUAAUAGGGGAACACCCACAGCCCAUUGGGGUGCACUCACAGCCCAUAGGAGUGCACUCACAGCCCAUAGGGGUGCACCCACAGCUCAUUGGGGUCCACCCACAGCCCAUUGGGGUGCACCCACAGCCCAUAGGAGUGCACUCACAGCCAAUAGGGGUACACCCACAGCCCAUAGGAGUACACUCACAGCCCAUAGGGGUGCACCCACAGCCCAUAUGGGCACACGUCACCGCGGAGCAGAGCGUGGCUGUGCCACCCGUGGGACAAACAGAGCCACGUGAGGAGCAAAGGACAAUGAGGGCACAACCGCAGCCCUUCCUCCUCCUGGGGGGGUGGGGGUGCGGGGGGGGUGUGUGGGGGGGGGGGGGAGCCCCGAAGACCCCCAUUUCGCCACUCUCCCCCUCUCGGUUUGCUUUGUGAGAGCCGAAGCAUCGCCGUCACACAUCGGUCCUUCCUGACCCACACAUGGGAUGGGGGGGGGUGGGGGGGGAAAGAGGGGGGUCAGCAAAAGCAAUGAGGAAGGAAAAGGAAGGGGGGGGGGGGGGGGG
ensembl:lncRNA